AUGAUCUUAUCUUUAAGGACAGAAAAAUUCAUCCAUAGACGGGUCGGUUGUGAAGCAGAGAGAUGGGGAAGGCUUUCAAAGAAGAAUUUUCACACGAUGAGAGACUCGCAGAAUCACAAGAUAUAAUCGCCAGAUAUCCUGAUCGACUGCCGGUGGUGGUUGAAAGAUAUUCAAAGACUGACCUUCCUGAGAUGGAAAA